rnacentral:tRNA from 1 species
GGUAAGAUGGCCGAGAGUUAGGCGGUGGGUUGUAGCCCCAAAAACAGAGGUUCUAGUCCUCUUCUUACCA